rnacentral:rRNA from 1 species
UAUAACCUACGGGAGGCAGCAGUGAGGAAUAUUGGUCAAUGGUCGGGAGACUGAACCAGCCAAGCCGCGUGAGGGAUGAAGGUACAGAGUAUCGUAAACCUCUUUUGUCAGGGAACAAAGGCGGGGACGUGUCCCCGGAUGAGUGGACCUGAAGAAAAAGCAUCGGCUAACUCCGUGCCAGCAGCCGCGGUAAAACGGAGGAUGCGAACGUUAUCCGGGUUUAUUGGGGUUAAAGGGGGCGCAGGCGGGCUGUUAAGUCAGCGGUCAAAGCCCGGGGCUCAACCCCGGC